UACGAAGGGGGCUAGCGUUGCUCGGAAUGACUGGGCGUAAAGGGCGCGUAGGCGGCUUGUAUAGUCGGAUGUGAAAUUCCUGGGCUUAACCUGGGGCUGGCAUACGAUACGUAUGGGCUUAGUGCGGAAGAGGGUCGUGGAAUUCCCGAGUGUAGAGGUGAAAUUCGUAGAUAUUAGGAAGAACACCGGUGGCGAAGGCGGCCCACUGGCUCGAUACGUGACGCUGAGGUGCGAAAGCGUGGGGAGCAACAGGGAUUAAGAAACCCUUGG
rnacentral:rRNA from 1 species